GCUGAUUUGUCUGUCGCUUAACCAGAGUAAGCGAGAGAAGAAACAAACAGUGGGAGAAGAUGUCUCACGCACACUAAGUUUAGACCACCCCAAAACUGAGUCAGACGGCGGCUUUCUGAUGCCUCCCGGGGACAGCUGCUUCUCGGAGGAAGAGUAUUGCAUGCUGGCGUGGGUGAAGAUGUUUAAGCUUGAUUCUCCUUGGAAGCUGCAAUCAACCCUGCCCAGAACCACCAGUCCCCACUUAGUCUUGGAGAGGAGGCAAGGAUGUGUGUUCUCUGUGUGUAGCCUUAUGGUCUGUAAAUGCUUACAAAAACCUAUGAAAGACAGACUACUCAUUUUAGAGAAAAAAAAAAACCUGAAGCUUAGAACAUUUAAGAAAUUUCCCCUAAAUCCAUCCAGCAAGCAAGAAGUGGGGACAAAAUGCAAGUCCACUUGGCUCUCAGAUCCAGCCUCAAGCACCUUUUAGAGCCACGGGGGUUGCACAACACGGACUUCCUCUGCCAGAGUAGGAAGACAGUAUUUUUUACAUGAAAAAAUUGGAAUAGGCUGGGUGCGGUGGCUCACUGUAAUCCCAGCACUUUGGGAGGCCGAGGCAAGUGGAUCACCUGAGGUCAGGAGUUCAAGACCAGCCUGGCCAACAUGGUGAAACCCCGUCUCUACUAAAAAUACAAAAUUAGCCAAGAGUGGUGGCAUGUGCCUGUAAUCCCUGCUAUUCAGGAGGCUAAGGCAGAAUCACUUGAACCCGGGAGGCAGAGCUUGCAGUGAGCCAAGAUCACACCACUGCACUCUAGCCUGGGUGACAGAGCAAGACUCUGUCUCAAAAGGAAAAAAAAAAGGAUAAUUUUUACGUAAUCAUUAAGCGUAUAUUUAUUUACAUGAUAUUGUUUGAUCAUGUUCUUAAAUCAUCAAGUCUGUUUCACCUCCUUAUUCUAAGGUUCUCAAGGAUAAGAACCACAUUUCCUUUUAAAUCAUUUUAUUCCUUGCUUCCCUUCACUAAGGUAAUCUCUGACCUGAAUAAAAAGUGUCCCCAGUCGCCACCUGGCAGGGCAUAGCUUAGAAUGCAAUUGCUGGAAUUUAGUUCUAUACUUUUUUCCAUAGCAUUUCUAUCAAGCCAGCUGAAACAUCAGCAUGCGAUGCAUUGCUUCUGAAACCAAUGUUUGCUCUUAAUGAUGUGUAUACACUUACUACCAAGAAGACUUAGGUACGUGCUUCGUCCCUUAGACAAAGGCAUGGUUGGGGC
rnacentral:lncRNA from 1 species